UACGUAGGGUGCGAGCGUUGUCCGGAAUUACUGGCGUAAAGAGCUCGUAGGUGGUUUGUCGCGUUGUUCGUGAAAACUCACAACUCAAUUGUGGGCGUGCGGGCGAUACGGGCAGACUGGAGUACUGCAGGGGAGACUGGAAUUCCUGGUGUAGCGGUGGAAUGCGCAGAUAUCAGGAGGAACACCGGUGGCGAAGGCGGGUCUCUGGGCAGUAACUGACGCUGAGGAGCGAAAGCGUGGGGAGCGAACAGG
rnacentral:rRNA from 1 species